rnacentral:rRNA from 1 species
AAGGAUUCCCCUAGUAACUGCGAGUGAACCGGGAAAAGCUCAAAUUUUGAAUCUGGCGGUCUUCGGGCCGUCCGAGUUGUAAUCUAGAGAAGCGUCUUCCGCGCUGGACCGUGUAUAAGUUUCCUGGAAUGGAACGUCGUAGAGGGUGACAAUCCCGUCUUUGACACGGACUCCCAGUGCUAUGUGAUGCGCUCUCGACGAGUCGAGUUGUUUGGGAAUGCAGCUCAAAUAGGGUGGUAAAUUCCAUCUAAAGCUAAAUACAGGCGAGAGACCGAUAGCGAACAAGUACCGUGAGGGAAAGAUGAAAAGAACUUUGGAAAGAGAGUUAAACAGUACGUGAAAUUGCUGAAAGGGAAACGCUUGAUGUCAGUCGCAUCGUCCGGGGAUCAGCCUCGCUCUUUUGCUCGGCGUACUUCCUGGUCGAUGGGUCAGCAUCGGUUUCGACCGUCGGAAAAUGGCUCGAGGAACGUGGCACUCUUCGGGGUGUGUUAUAGCCUCGAGUCGAAUACGACGGUCGGGACCGAGGAACUCAGCACGACCUUCGGGUUCGGGGCUUCGGCUCACGUUCGCGU